rnacentral:rRNA from 1 species
CCUACGGGGGGCAGCAGUGAGGAAUAUUGGUCAAUGGACGAGAGUCUGAACCAGCCAAGUAGCGUGAAGGAUGACUGCCCUAUGGGUUGUAAACUUCUUUUAUAUGGGAAUAAAAUGUUCCACGUGUGGGCUUUUGUAUGUACUUUAUGAAUAAGGAUCGGCUAACUCCGUGCCAGCAGCCGCGGUAAUACGGAGGAUCCGAGCGUUAUCCGGAUUUAUUGGGUUUAAAGGGAGCGUAGAUGGGUUGUUAAGUCAGUUGUGAAAGUUUGCGGCUCAACCGUAAAAUUGCAAUUGAUACUGGCAGUCUUGAGUACAGGUGAGGUAGGCGGAAUUCGUGGUGUAGCGGUGAAAUGCUUAGAUAUCACGAAGAACUCCGAUUGCGAAGGCAGCUUACUAAACUGCCACUGACAUUGAUGCUCGAAAGUGUGGGUAUCAAACAGGAUUAGAUACCCGAGUAGUC